CACAAUAACCACCACGCGCUAAAAAGACAGGUCAAGGUAUAGCCCAUGAAGUGGAAGAAAUGGGCUACAUUUUCUAUAAUAGAACAUUCACGAAAAGGGGUAUGAAAUCUACCCCUAGAAGGCGGAUUUAGCAGUAAAAAAAGACAAUAAAACUUUUUUUAAGACGGCCCUGGGGUACGUACAUACCGCCCGUCACCCUCCUCAUAUACUGCCCACCAAUAAUACUUAAUACAACUAGCCAAAGAUAAGAAGAGGUAAGUCGUAACAAGGUAAGUGUACUGGAAAGUGCACUUAGCAUACCAAGAUG
rnacentral:ncRNA from 1 species